GAUGAACGCUGGCGGCGUGCCUAAUACAUGCAAGUAGAACGCUGAAGGACGGCGCUUGCUCUUUCCGGGUGAGUUGCGCACGGGUGAGUAACGCGUAGGUAACCUGCCUGGUAGCGGGGGAUAACUAUUGGAAACGAUAGCUAAUACCGCAUAACAGUAGAUGUUGCAUGAUGUCUACUUAAAAGGUGCAAUUUCGCCACUACCAGAUGGACCUGCGUUGUAUUAGCUAGUUGGUGAGGUAACGGCUCACCAAGGCGACGAUACAUAGCCGCCCUGAGAGGGUGGUCAGCCGCACUGGGAGUGGGACACGGCACAGACGGCUACGGGAGGGAGCAGUAGGGAAUCGUGGGCAAUGGGCGGAAGACUGACCGAGCAACGCCGAGGGAGUGAAGAACGUCUUCGAAUCGUAAAGGUCGGUUGUAAGGGAAGAACGAGUGUGAGAGUGUAAAGUUCAGUCUGUGACGGUAACUUACCAGAAAGGGACGGCUAACUACGUG
rnacentral:rRNA from 1 species